rnacentral:rRNA from 1 species
AUUGAACGCUGGCGGCAGGCCUAACACAUGCAAGUCGAGCGGAUGAAGGUAGCUUGCUACCUGAUUCAGCGGCGGACGGGUGAGUAAUGCCUAGGAAUCUGCCUGGUAGUGGGGGACAACGUUUCGAAAGGAACGCUAAUACCGCAUACGUCCUACGGGAGAAAGUGGGGGAUCUUCGGACCUCACGCUAUCAGAUGAGCCUAGGUACGAUUAGCUAGUUGGUGAGGUAAAGGCUCACCAAGGCGACGAUCGUUAACUGGUCUGAGAGGAUGAUCAGUCACACUGGAACUGAGACACGGUCCAGACUCCUACGGGAGGCAGCAGUGGGGAAUAUUGGACAAUGGGCGAAAGCCUGAUCCAGCCAUGCCGCGUGUGUGAAGAAGGUCUUCGGAUUGUAAAGCACUUUAAGUUGGGAGGAAGGGCAGUAAGUUAAUACCUUGCUGUUUUGACAUUACCGACAGAAUAAGCACCGGCUAACUUCGUGCCAGCCGCCGCAGUAAUAC